AAUAAUCAUAAAAACUAAAGGUAGGACACACCAGUCAAGACUUAAACUGCAUCCAGUUGGCUGAUGAGGUGACAGACAGACCAUGAUUGGCUAAAUGAUGUCACAGCACCAGCCUGCUGCCUCAGGACUUCAUUCCCCAGAAUCCCCCUCUGCAAUAAGCAUGGACGAAACAGGAAGUGAUGGAAGAGUGUAACAAUCACCACCUGACAUACUCAUUUUACACCUGUCUCUCUCUGUGACCUGUCUCUCUCUUUCUCUGUGUCUGCAGAUGUCUCUCUACCUUCCAUCUUGUCUACUCAGUUCAUUAUUCACCCAAAACAGACCUCAGCUGUGUUCUAUACAUAGAACAACAUACACCAACACCCUCCUCCACUUAUAUAUUACCACUGUCUGUCUGUCUCUCUCUCUGUCUAUCAGAUUUAUGUCUUUUUGUCCACAUUGUGUCUGUCUCUGCAGCUCAGAUAAAACACCUGUCACCCAUCAUGUGACCCUUCAGCCAGAACUUGGCUGACUUGACAGAAAACAGGAGGCCAAGAAUAAUGAAGAUGAUGAAGGUGGUGAUGAUGGUGAUUAAGCAGAGCCGCAGGGUCGCGCGCGCUCUGGCACGCUGCGGUCCUUCCGUUCACAGCCUCGUCCCGCAAGGUUCGCUCCGGUUUAACUCCCGCGUCAUGUAUCUCGGAGCCAGGACAGAUGCAGAGCCACAGCGGAGGAGGAGAGAACCG